GACGAACGCUGGCGGCGUGCUUAACACAUGCAAGUCGAACGGAAAGGCCCUGCUUUUGUGGGGUGCUCGAGUGGCAAACGGGUGAGUAACACGUGAGUAACCUGCCCUUGACUUUGGGAUAACUUCAGGAAACUGGGGCUAAUACCGGAUAGGAGCUCCUGCUGCAUGGUGGGGGUUGGAAAGUUUCGGCGGUUGGGGAUGGACUCGCGGCUUAUCAGCUUGUUGGUGGGGUAGUGGCUUACCAAGGCUUUGACGGGUAGCCGGCCUGAGAGGGUGACCGGCCACAUUGGGACUGAGAUACGGCCCAGACUCCUACGGGAGGCAGCAGUGGGGAAUAUUGCACAAUGGGCGGGAGCCUGAUGCAGCAACGCCGCGUGCGGGAUGACGGCCUUCGGGUUGUAAACCGCUUUCGCCUGUGACGAAGCGUGAGUGACGGUAAUGGGUAAAGAAGCACCGGCUAACUACGUG
rnacentral:rRNA from 1 species